rnacentral:rRNA from 1 species
UACGUAGGGGGCAAGCGUUGUCCGGAAUUAUUGGGCGUAAAGCGCGCGCAGGCGGUUAUUUAAGUCGGGUGUUUAAGCCCGGGGCUCAACCCCGGUUCGCAUCCGAAACUGGAUGACUUGAGUGUAGGAGAGGAAAGUGGAAUUCCACGUGUAGCGGUGAAAUGCGUAGAGAUGUGGAGGAACACCAGUGGCGAAGGCGACUUUCUGGCCUAUAACUGACGCUGAGGCGCGAAAGCGUGGGGAGCAAACAGG